rnacentral:rRNA from 1 species
AGGGAAUAUUGCGCAAUGGACGGAAGUCUGACGCAGCGACGCCGCGUGAGCGAUGAAGGUCUUCGGAUCGUAAAGCUCUGUCCUUGGGGAAGAAGGUCUUCGGACUUGACGGUACCCAAGAAGAAAGCCCCGGCUAACUACGUGCCAGCAGCCGCGGUAAUACGUAGGGGGCGAGCGUUGUCCGGAAUUACUGGGCGUAAAGGGUGCGUAGGCGGCCCUUUAAGUCGGAUGUGAAAGCCCGCGGCUUAACCGCGGAAUGGCAUUCGAAACUGGAGGGCUUGAGUGUCGGAGAGGGUAGUGGAAUUCCCAGUGUAGCGGUGAAAUGCGUAGAUAUUGGGAGGAACACCAGUGGCGAAGGCGACUACCUGGACGAUAACUGACGCUGAGGCACGAAAGCUAGGGGAGCAAACA